GUCCCCUUCUUCCACACCCCUUUGGACUCCAUGUUUGGAUCCCCUUCCAUGAACACUCCCUUCAUGGAAGCCUCCGUCUUCCCCUCCUAAACUCCAUCUCUCUCUAUUCCCUUCCACUCAGUGUGGAAGCUGCGUUCCUCUCCUGGAUUCUAUCUGUCUGGAUUCUCUCAGUGUGAGAGUUAGCUGUUUCUUUCUCUCUCCUUCUGUUUCUCUCUCUUUUUAAAUAAAUCACUUUGUACAA